rnacentral:rRNA from 1 species
GACGAACGCUGGCGGCGUGCCUAACACAUGCAAGUCGAGCGGGGUUGAAGCGAGAGGUAACUCGAACUUCUACCUAGCGGCGGACGGGUGAGUAACGCGUGGGCAACCUGCCUCAAGGUCUGGGAUAACAGCCCGAAAGGGCUGCUAAUACUGGGUAUGCUUGUGGCCUCGCAUGGGGCUAUGAGCAAAGGGGAAACCCGCCUUGAGAUGGGCCCGCGUCCCAUCAGCUAGUUGGUGAGGUAACAGCUCACCAAGGCGACGACGGGUAGCCGGCCUGAGAGGGUGACCGGCCACACUGGGACUGAGACACGGCCCAGACUCCUACGGGGGGCAGCAGUGGGGGAUCUUGCACAAUGGGCGAAAGCCUGAUGCAGCGACGCCGCGUGAGCGAAGAAGGCCUGGUUGUAAGCUCUGUCUGGAGGGACGGAAGGAAAGGUGACGGUACCGUCCCGGAGGAAGCCACGGCUAACUACGUGCCAGCAGCCGCGGUAAAGUGUGUGUA